GUCAUUAAAUCUUUCUUACAAUUAUCUCCCUAUUCUAUUUAAUUUUUCUGUUGGAUGCAGUAAAUCAUUCAUAAAAAUCUUCAGAGGAGGUUCUUUGUUGAUAUACUUUUUUUUUGGUACUGAGGAUCGAACUCAGGACCUUCCGCUUGUGAGGCAGGAGCAGUGUCAUUGAGCUAAAGCCCCCGGCCCUAUCGAUAUACUUUCUUAACCCUUUAGUAUCUGAGGCUGUCUUCCAGUUGCCUUCAUACGCAAAUACUAAUUUGGAAGGGUAUAUAAUUCUUGGUUCAAAGUUAUUUUCCCUUAAAACUCUGUAAAUGUUCCAUUGUCUUCUGGUAUUUAGAAUCGUAAGAGAAAAACCUGAGGUCAGUCUGACUUUUGCCUCUUUAUAUGUAACCUGUUUUCUCUGGAUACUUGCAAAAUUUUUUCUUUAUGCUUGAAAUUUAAAAGUCACAAGGAUAUGCCUAGGUGUUGCUUUCUUCUACUUAAAUUUUAAAGGUACCCUGUGAGCCUUCUUCAUUUUCAGGUCUACUUCAUUCUUCAACUCUGGAAAAUUUUCUUCAGUUAGCUCCAUAAUUAUUGUUUCAGCUUCAUUUGCUUUGUCUUCUCUUUCAGGUUUUCCUAUUACACAUAGAUCGUAUCUCCUGGACAAGCCCUCUACAUCUCUCCUUUUCUCUUCUUUCCUCAUCUUAUUUCUUUGGCCUUUUCCUCUGCAUUCUGUGAGAAUUUCUCUUAUUUUCCAUUUACUUGAGAAAUUUUAUGUUGUAACCGACCAUUUUUCUGUGCUUCCUUUAAACAGGCCUCGAUCUCUUCCAUGUGGUCGCACAACACCUGCUUUACAACUAAGACAGGAUGGUGGGUUUUUUGUUGCUUACAUCACCUACUGAGUGUUGACAGCAAUGAUGGAACAAGUCAGCAAGUUUUCAGGGUGCUGCUGUGGAGCUGUGGAGAUGGGACCUUUAAAAGAGGCAAGCGGCUCAGUACCAGGAUGCAUGGGCCUUACUUACCUCAAGGAAUUGACAUUUUGGUGGCAGGAUGUAAAGAUUCAAGUCAACCUAGCAUGCUGUGAUAGCAGUGCCAUUGGAUGUUAAGGAUGCACAAAAGAGGACUAUGUACUCUGGUCUUCAGAGAUGGGGGAGGUUCUGGCAGACAGAACCAAUCUUUUAAGACUAGCAGGAGUUAGCCAGGUGAAGGGGGAGGGC
rnacentral:lncRNA from 1 species